rnacentral:rRNA from 1 species
AGAGUUUGAUCCUGGCUCAGGAUGAACGCUAGCUACAGGCUUAACACAUGCAAGUCGCGGGGCAGCAUGUUGGUUGCUUGCAACCGAUGAUGGCGACCGGCGCACGGGUGAGUAACACGUAUCCAACCUGCCUAUUACCACGGUAUAACCCGAUGAAAGUCGGCCUAAUCCCGUAUGUAGUCUUCCAAUGGCAUCAGCAGUAGACGAAAGGUUUAGCGGUAAUGGAUGGGGAUGCGUCCGAUUAGCUAGUCGGUGGGGUAACGGCUCACCGAGGCAACGAUCGGUAGGGGUUCUGAGAGGAAGGUCCCCCACACUGGAACUGAGACACGGUCCAGACUCCUACGGGAGGCAGCAGUGAGGAAUAUUGGUCAAUGGGCGGGAGCCUGAACCAGCCAAGUAGCGUGCAGGAUGACGGCCUUAUGGGUUGUAAACUGCUUUUAUGCGAGGAUAAAGUCACCCACGUGUGGGUGUUUGCAGGUAUCGCAUGAAUAAGGACCGGCUAAUUCCGUGCCAGCAGCCGCGGUAAUACGGAAGGUUCUGGCGUUAUCCGGAUUUAUUGGGUUUAAAGGGAGCGUAGGCUGUUUUUUAAGCGUGUUGUGAAAUGUACCGGCUCAACCGGUGAUGUGCAGCGCGAACUGGAAGACUUGAGUGUGUUGUAAGUAGGCGGAAUUCGUGGUGUAGCGGUGAAAUGCUUAGAUAUCACGAGGAACUCCGAUUGCGUAGGCAGCUUACUGUCUCACUACUGACGCUGAUGCUCGAAAGCGCGGGUAUCGAACAGGAUUAGAUACCCUGGUAGUCCGCGCGGUAAACGAUGGAUGCUCGUUGUUGGUAUUUAUAUAUCAGUGACCUAGCGAAAGCGUUAAGCAUCCCACCUGGGGAGUACGCCGGCAACGGUGAAACUCAAAGGAAUUGACGGGGGCCCG